CCGUAUUACACAAAGUGAGGCGUAUGUUAGAGCGAAGCAAUACUUGAAUUCGUAUUUGACGUUUAGGUUUUUAACCUUAAGUUUAGAAUACCUUGUAUCCCCGUAGUGUCUGUCCGUAGUUACUAGAAUACAGUUAGUGGUUUGAUUUGCAAGUUAUAUUCGUAACAUUAUUAUCAGUGGCUUAUUUAGGAAUUGUUCAUGGGCUGAAGGAUCUAAAUAAUUUGCCAGGCCCCAUAGACCUCCCCAUAAAUACGUCACUGAUUAUUAUUAACAAUUUAAAUAUAAAUUCGUAAUAUUAUUAAUCUGUGAGUAUUUAUGAAUAUUAGUUAUAAAUUCAUAUUAGCUAAUACUAAACUAAAUAUUAAGACAAAUUGAUACCAAAAUAUAAUUACUUCAACGAUUUUAAAAAUGUCCUGUCAAAUAUU